CCCCUCUCAGGGUCGCAGCUGGAGAGUUCCCAGUACUCUACCAGUCUCAACUACGGAAGGAAGAGUCAAGCAGAGGCAUACCCAUUCCAGUCCUAGCUUGGGCAGUGGCUAGAAAGUGGAAGGCAGUCUGCUACAAGU